GGGUUGUGAGGUUAAGCGACUAAGCGUACACGGUGGAUGCCCUGGCAGUCAGAGGCGAUGAAGGACGUGCUAAUCUGCGAUAAGCGUCGGUAAGGUGAUAUGAACCGUUAUAACCGGCGAUUUCCGAAUGGGGAAACCCAGUGUGUUUCGACACACUAUCAUUAACUGAAUCCAUAGGUUAAUGAGGCGAACCGGGGGAACUGAAACAUCUAAGUACCCCGAGGAAAAGAAAUCAACCGAGAUUCCCCCAGUAGCGGCGAGCGAACGGGGAGGAGCCCAGAGCCUGAAUCAGUGUGUGUGUUAGUGGAAGCGUCUGGAAAGGCGCGCGAUACAGGGUGACAGCCCCGUACACAAAAAUGCACAUACUGUGAGCUCGAUGAGUAGGGCGGGACACGUGGUAUCCUGUCUGAAUAUGGGGGGACCAUCCUCCAAGGCUAAAUACUCCUGACUGACCGAUAGUGAACCAGUACCGUGAGGGAAAGGCGAAAAGAACCCCGGCGAGGGGAGUGAAAAAGAACCUGAAACCGUGUACGUACAAGCAGUGGGAGCACAGAGCAAUCUGUGUGACUGCGUACCUUUUGUAUAAUGGGUCAGCGACUUAUAUUCUGUAGCAAGGUUAACCGAAUAGGGGAGCCGAAGGGAAACCGAGUCUUAACUGGGCGUUAAGUUGCAGGGUAUAGACCCGAAACCCGGUGAUCUAGCCAUGGGCAGGUUGAAGGUUGGGUAACACUAACUGGAGGACCGAACCGACUAAUGUUGAAAAAUUAGCGGAUGACUUGUGGCUGGGGGUGAAAGGCCAAUCAAACCGGGAGAUAGCUGGUUCUCCCCGAAAGCUAUUUAGGUAGCGCCUCGUGAAUUCAUCUCCGGGGGUAGAGCACUGUUUCGGCAAGGGGGUCAUCCCGACUUACCAACCCGAUGCAAACUGCGAAUACCGGAGAAUGUUAUCACGGGAGACACACGGCGGGUGCUAACGUCCGUCGUGAAGAGGGAAACAACCCAGACCGCCAGCUAAGGUCCCAAAGUCAUGGUUAAGUGGGAAACGAUGUGGGAAGGCCCAGACAGCCAGGAUGUUGGCUUAGAAGCAGCCAUCAUUUAAAGAAAGCGUAAUAGCUCACUGGUCGAGUCGGCCUGCGCGGAAGAUGUAACGGGGCUAAACCAUGCACCGAAGCUGCGGCAGCGACGCUUAUGCGUUGUUGGGUAGGGGAGCGUUCUGUAAGCCUGUGAAGGUGUGCUGUGAGGCAUGCUGGAGGUAUCAGAAGUGCGAAUGCUGACAUAAGUAACGAUAAAGCGGGUGAAAAGCCCGCUCGCCGGAAGACCAAGGGUUCCUGUCCAACGUUAAUCGGGGCAGGGUGAGUCGACCCCUAAGGCGAGGCCGAAAGGCGUAGUCGAUGGGAAACAGGUUAAUAUUCCUGUACUUGGUGUUACUGCGAAGGGGGGACGGAGAAGGCUAUGUUGGCCGGGCGACGGUUGUCCCGGUUUAAG
rnacentral:rRNA from 1 species